UUUAUGGAGAGUUUGAUCCUGGCUCAGAGUGAACGCUGGCGGCGUGCCUAAUACAUGCAAGUCGAACGAUGAAGCUUCUAGCUUGCUAGAAGUGGAUUAGUGGCGCACGGGUGAGUAACGCAUAGGUCAUGUGCCUCUUAGUUUGGGAUAGCCAUUGGAAACGAUGAUUAAUACCAGAUACUCCCUACGGGGGAAAGAUUUAUCGCUAAGAGAUCAGCCUAUGUCCUAUCAGCUUGUUGGUAAGGUAAUGGCUUACCAAGGCUAUGACGGGUAUCCGGCCUGAGAGGGUGAACGGACACACUGGAACUGAGACACGGUCCAGACUCCUACGGGAGGCAGCAGUAGGGAAUAUUGCUCAAUGGGGGAAACCCUGAAGCAGCAACGCCGCGUGGAGGAUGAAGGUUUUAGGAUUGUAAACUCCUUUUGUUAGAGAAGAUAAUGACGGUAUCUAACGAAUAAGCACCGGCUAACUCCGUGCCAGCAGCCGCGGUAAUACGGAGGGUGCAAGCGUUACUCGGAAUCACUGGGCGUAAAGAGCGCGUAGGCGGGAUAGUCAGUCAGGUGUGAAAUCCUAUGGCUUAACCAUAGAACUGCAUUUGAAACUACUAUUCUAGAGUGUGGGAGAGGUAGGUGGAAUUCUUGGUGUAGGGGUAAAAUCCGUAGAGAUCAAGAGGAAUACUCAUUGCGAAGGCGACCUGCUGGAACAUUACUGACGCUGAUUGCGCGAAAGCGUGGGGAGCAAACAGGAUUAGAUACCCUGGUAGUCCACGCCCUAAACGAUGGAUGCUAGUUGUUGGAGGGCUUAGUCUCUCCAGUAAUGCAGCUAACGCAUUAAGCAUCCCGCCUGGGGAGUACGGUCGCAAGAUUAAAACUCAAAGGAAUAGACGGGGAUCCGCACAAGCGGUGGAGCAUGUGGUUUAAUUCGAAGAUACACGAAGAACCUUACCUAGGCUUGACAUUGAGAGAAUCCGCUAGAAAUAGUGGAGUGUCUGGCUUGCUAGACCUUGAAAACAGGUGCUGCACGGCUGUCGUCAGCUCGUGUCGUGAGAUGUUGGGUUAAGUCCCGCAACGAGCGCAACCCCCUUUCUUAGUUGCUAACAGGUCAUGCUGAGAACUCUAAGGAUACUGCCUCCGUAAGGAGGAGGAAGGUGGGGACGACGUCAAGUCAUCAUGGCCCUUACGCCUAGGGCUACACACGUGCUACAAUGGGGUGUACAAAGAGAAGCAAUACUGCGAAGUGGAGCCAAUCUUCAAAACGCCUCUCAGUUCGGAUUGUAGGCUGCAACUCGCCUGCAUGAAGCUGGAAUCGCUAGUAAUCGCAAAUCAGCCAUGUUGCGGUGAAUACGUUCCCGGGUCUUGUACUCACCGCCCGUCACACCAUGGGAGUUGUGUUUGCCUUAAGUCAGGAUGCUAAAUUGGCUACUGCCCACGGCACACACAGCGACUGGGGUGAAGUCGUAACAAGGUAACCGUAGGUGAACCUGCGGUUGGAUCACCUCCUUU
rnacentral:rRNA from 1 species